rnacentral:lncRNA from 1 species
UCACAUUCUGACAUUCUGAGUGGACAUGAAUUUUGGGGGGAUGCUCUUCAACCCACUGCAGACAAGCCCUUUUCCUCUAGUGGCAAGCGGAAUGCUGGCAGUUUCAGGGAUACAGCCUACUUUCUCUGCUACCCCAAAGAAGACAGAUGUCCCUCCAGCAAAAUCUAAAACAAGCUCGAAUUUGCUCUGACUGGGCCAUGUGCUCAUUCUGGACCAAUCAGGAAGUCAGAGAACCAAGAGACCUGGACCCAAUCCAGCUGUGAGAAUAUGAAGUCCUUCUGUGUUUUCAAGAAGAAGAAUUUGAUGAGCUUCUAGAUAUGUGCAACAUAUCUCCUGCUAUUAUUUUUCAAAAAUAAUAAAAAGGAUCUAAAUAUGUAGCCUGGAAAAUACUUGUUAAAGAUUAAUUAAUUUCAAAGAUGAGCCCUCUUUACCCCUACCCAUUGUCAAUGAAAUAAUGUCAUUCUCUUUCAAGUUCC